GAUGAACGCUGGCGGCGUGCCUAAUACAUGCAAGUCGAGCGAACGGACGAGAAGCUUGCUUCUCUGAUGUUAGCGGCGGACGGGUGAGUAACACGUGGAUAACCUACCUAUAAGACUGGGAUAACUUCGGGAAACCGUAGCUAAUACCGGAUAAUAUUUUGAACCGCAUGGUUCAAAAGUGAAAGACGGUCUUGCUGUCACUUAUAGAUGGAUCCGCGCUGCAUUAGCUAGUCGGUAAGGUAACGGCUUACCAAGGCAACGAUGCAUAGCCGACCUGAGAGGGUGAUCGGCCACACUGGAACUGAGACACGGUCCAGACUCCUACGGGAGGCAGCAGUAGGGAAUCUUCCGCAAUGGGCGAAAGCCUGACGGAGCAACGCCGCGUGAGUGAUGAAGGUCUUCGGACCGUAAAACUCUGUUAUUAGGGAAGAACAUAUGUGUAAGUAACUGUGCACAUCCUGACGGUACCUAAUCAGAAAGCCACGGCUAACUACGUG
rnacentral:rRNA from 1 species